CCUACGGGUGGCAGCAGUGGGGGAUAUUGCACAAUGGGGGAAACCCUGAUGCAGCGACGCCGCGUGGGUGAAGAAGUAUUUCGGUAUGUAAAGCCCUAUCAGCAGGGAAGAAAGAAGACGGUACCUGACUAAGAAGCCCCGGCUAACUACGUGCCAGCAGCCGCGAUAAUACGUAGGGGGCGAGCGUGAUCCGGAUUCACUGGGUGUAAAGGGAGCGUAGACGGCCGUGCAAGCCAGGAGUGAAAGCCCGGGGCCCAACCCCGGGACUGCUCUUGGAACUGUGCGGCUGGAGUGCGGGAGGGGCAGGCGGAAUUCCUGGUGUAGCGGUGAAAUGCGUAGAUAUCAGGAGGAACACCGGCGGCGAAGGCGGCCUGCUGGACCGCGACUGACGUUGAGGCUCGAAAGCGUGGGGAGCGAACAGGAUUAGAUACCCUAGUAGUC
rnacentral:rRNA from 1 species